CCAGUCCUCUGGCGUGGAGCUGCAUCGGUCCCACUCCUGCCGAGGACCAGAUCACCCAGCCGGGCUGGGGACAGGGGCUCCGCAGCCCUGCAACGCAGGCCUGGCACGGCUCUUCGCUGGGGGUCAGCAGCCCUUUCUGUAGAAGCACUUCUCACCUCUGAAAAUCAUCUUGCCUGACCGUGCCACCCCUGCGGCGAGCAACCCGGGUCUGGGAGGCUCUUCAUUCCCACUGGGAGAAACUCCGGAGAAAAGAGGCCCAUGUUUGCCAAGACACCGGUUGCCCACAGCGCACAGGCUUCGUCCAGGACCGCCGACACCUCCGUCCUUUACUUUUCCCAGCUUUGGCUGGUGCUUCUUCACUUUUCUUCUGAAGAGUUGAAGGCCAUGAACACAGCUCUCUAGCUAAACAAAAUAAGAACUAAGAGGCCACAAAAAUGUGCCUACAAAUCUGGGCUCCAGAUACUGCAGCGCUGGGAAGCAGGAGACAGUCUCU